AAAAGCCCUCGCUGCGACAUCUGCCACCCAGCCGCUCGCUAGGGUGGGCCUGGCUGGUCUGGCUGGCCAGGUGGCUGUCCCCUGCCGCCCUCCCCAUUCUGUGUGCUUCCCUGUGCAAGCUGCACCUUCAAUCUAAGAGGAUGACCACCCCAGUAGAGAAGGCCCGUUUCCCAGGUCCAGGGUUUAUGAGUAGCUGCACUCCCUGGCUAGAACUCCAAACAAGCUCCCGAUCGACGCCUUGGGUGUCCCAAGCAUUCUGCACACUUUAUUAAAUUUUAGUUAAAUUUCAGU
ensembl:misc_RNA 7SK 7SK RNA